CAUGCAAGUCGAACGAUGAACCUCCUUCGGGAGGGGAUUAGUGGCGAACGGGUGAGUAACACGUGGGCAAUCUGCCCUGCACUCUGGGACAAGCCCUGGAAACGGGGUCUAAUACCGGAUACUGAUCAUCUUGGGCAUCCUUGGUGAUCGAAAGCUCCGGCGGUGCAGGAUGAGCCCGCGGCCUAUCAUCUUGUUGGUGAGGUAACGGCUCACCAAGGCGACGACGGGUAGCCGGCCUGAGAGGGCGACCGGCCACAGUGGGACUGAGACACAACCCAAACUCCUACGGGAGGCAGCAGUGGGGAAUAUUGCACAGUGGGCGCAAGCCUGAUGCAGCGACGCCGCGUGAGGGAUGACGGCCUUCGGGUUGUAAACCUCUUUCAGCAGGGAAGAAGCGCAWGUGACGGUACCUGCAGAAGAAGCCCCGGCUAACUACGUGCCAGCAGCCGCGGUAAUACGUAGGGCGCGAGCGUUGUCCGGAAUUAUUGGGCGUAAAGAGCUCGUAGGCGGCUUGUCGCGUC
rnacentral:rRNA from 1 species